rnacentral:rRNA from 1 species
AGAGUUUGAUCCUGGCUCAGGAUUAACGCUGGCGGCGUGCCUAAUACAUGCAAGUCGAACGGAGAGCUUCUGGUAAUUUAUUACCGGUUGUUUCUUAGUGGCGAACGGGUGAGUAACGCGUUGGUGAUCUGCCCCGAAGAGUGGGAUAACUUCGGGAAACUGGAGCUAAUACCACAUGUGAUCUUGGCUUUUAGAAAACCAAGAUUAAAGGACUUCGGUCCGCUUUGGGAGGAACCUGCGUCCCAUCAGCUAGUUGGUAGGGUAAUGGCCUACCAAGGCGAAGACGGGUAGGGGACCUGAGAGGGUGACCCCCCACAAUGGUACUGAAACACGGACCAUACAUCUACGGAUGGCAGCAGUAGGGAAUCUUGCACAGUGGACGAAAGUCUGAUGCAGCUACGCCGCGUGUGCGAUGAAGGCCUUCGGGUUGUAAAGCACUUUUCUGAGGGAAGAGGAAGGACGGUACCUCAGGAAUAAGUCUCGGCUAACUACGUGCCAGCAGCCGCGGUAACACGUAGGAGGCAAGCGUUAUCCGGAUUUACUGGGCGUAAAGCGCGUGCAGGCGGUUUGGUAAGUUGGAUGUGAAAGCUCCCGGCUCAACUGGGAGAGGCCGUUCAAUACUGCCAGGCUAGAGGACGGUAGAGGGAGGUGGAAUUCCCGGUGUAGUGGUGAAAUGCGUAGAUAUCGGGAGGAACACCAGUGGCGAAAGCGGCCUCCUGGGCCGUUCCUGACGCUAAGACGCGAAAGCAUGGGUAGCAAACGGGAUUAGAAACCCCGGUAGUCCAUGCCGUAAACGAUGCGAACUUGGUGUUGGUGGUGUAAGAGCCAUCAGUACCGUAGCUAACGCGAUAAGUUCCGCCGCCUGGGGAUUACGAACCGCAAGGUUAAACUUCAAAUGGAAUGACCGGGUCUCGCACAGGCAGCGGAGCGUGUGAUUAAUCGAUUGCUACCGCAGACUACUGGGCUGAAAUAGCGUGCUAAGAUAUCCGAAUGUGAACCGAACCACUGUGGAGCCAUAUAUAUAUCCAUCGU